rnacentral:rRNA from 1 species
CGGCGAGUGAAGCGGCAACAGCUCAAAUUUGAAAUCUGGCUCUUUCAGGGUCCGAGUUGUAAUUUGUAGAGGAUGUUUCGGGGUGUGGCUCCGGUCUAAGUUCCUUGGAACAGGACGUCAUAGAGGGUGAGAAUCCCGUAUGUGACUGGUAGCCUAUGCUCAUGUGAAACUCCUUCGACGAGUCGAGUUGUUUGGGAAUGCAGCUCAAAAUGGGUGGUAAAUUUCAUCUAAAGCUAAAUAUUGGCCAGAGACCGAUAGCGCACAAGUAGAGUGAUCGAAAGAUGAAAAGCACUUUGGAAAGAGAGUUAAACAGUACGUGAAAUUGUUGAAAGGGAAGCGCUUGCAACCAGACUUGCAUGUAGCUGAUCAACCGGUGUUCUCACCGGUGCACUCAGUUGCGUUCAGGCCAGCAUCGGUUUCGACGGUUGGAUAAAGGCCUUGGGAAUGUAGCUUCUUUCGGGGAGUGUUAUAGCCCAGGGUGCAAUGCAGCCUGUCGGGACCGAGGACCGCGCUUCGGCUAGGAUGCUGGCGUAAUGGUUGUAAGCGACCCGUCUUGAAACACGGACCAAGGAGUCUAACAUCUAUGCGAGUGUUUGGGUGUCAAACCCAUACGCGUAAUGAAAGUGAACGGAGGUGAGAACCCUUAAGGGUGCAUCAUCGACCGAUCCUGAUGUCUUCGGAUGGAUUUGAGUAAGAGCAUAGCUGUUGGGACCCGAAAGAUGGUGAACUAUGCCUGAAUAGGGUGAAGCCAGAGGAAACUCUGGUGGAGGCUCGCAGCGGUUCUGACGUGCAAAUCGAUCGUCAAAUUUGGGUAUAG